CCACACCAAAAAAACCCCACGUGAAUGUACUCUGUAUUAGGCUUUGCGCUUUUCCUUGUGGAAAGCUAGCCGAAGGUUUCGCAAGAGACCGAUGUCAUUUCAUCCCUUUUAAAUAAAUUCUGAUCAAAACUGCAGACAGAAAUGUGUGCAUACAAUUGAAAUACAACUUUCAACAGUGGAUGUCUAGGCUCGCACAUCGAUGAAGAACGCUGCGAACUGCGAUACGUAAUGCGAAUUGCAGAAUUCAGUGAGUCAUCAAAAUUUUGAACGCAUAUUGCACUUCCGGGUUAGUCCUGGGAGUAUGUUUGUAUCAGUGUCCGUUAAUACAAAAUUGUUUCAUUUAUUUGAAGCAGAAUGUGGAGUGUCUUACUAUAGUAAGUCCUCUUAAAUGAUCUGUACCUGUACGUCCUUGUGGAAUACAUUACGUAAAGGUGUCUAUGAUUUCGGCUUCGAUUGUUCUGUGUGAGGACGUUUGUAUCUGAAGGAAAGACGAUUAGCGGUAGUUUUGCUUGUGUUUCGGCACAGGUGAACAUUAUUAUUGCUCUUUGUCGGACUGGAUGUGCUUAUGGAGGAUCACAGGAUGCGUUGUCGUGUUGUAGAUACUGGUGUAUUCCUUGAUGUAUGGAGGAAAUUGGGAAUUUAAUCCAAUUUGGACCUGAUAUCAAACAAGACUACCCGCUGAACUUAAG
rnacentral:rRNA from 1 species